UCGACACUCUCUCGUAGACCUCCAUACAAAAAGGUUUUAGCUCACGGAGACAGAUUUUGGGCGGAGUAAAUCCUCUCGCUUCUCUUCCUCUCUGUUGGCGGCCAUAAUAAACCCCUGUACGUGAAAUCAGUGGAUGAAAGACGGUUGAGGAAUACGGCCGUAACAAUCUCUUUUUUUUCAGUAWCAAGACGCGUUUCUCAUACAUCUAUAUAUUUUUUCUCUCUCGAGAACUGCCCUUAUUUACGUGGAUAUAAUAUUAUGGUGUUUAGAUGGCCUAACGGCCGGGGACGGAGUGUUAAUCUCACCAACGCUUCUCCAAGAUAUCCGCGUUGACCAGUACCUGAACUCCUGGGAUUUGAACAUGGAUAUCGUCGAUGGAGCGGAGGAUCUUUCCUUGGAGGAGAUUUUAUCGUUGUACAGCCAGCCGAUCAACGAAGAGCAGGCAUGGGCUGUUUGUUACCAAUGUUGCAGAACUUUGGCGCGGAAACACCGGAGGAGAAAUUCCAAGACUUCUGGCUCAUCUAUUGGGGAUUUGACGAGAAGGAUAGAAGGACCUGGCGAUGUGCGGAUUCUGAGAGAUGGAACAGUUAAAUUACACCACCAAGACAUCACAGAUAAAUACAGACCUCCCAACACGUCCUCAGAGAGCCCAGUGCCCACCAUGGAAACCAUGAGCGACCGUUUGUACCGAGUUGGCGUGACAACUACGAUACAAUGCGAAGCCCAGCAGCAUAGACGGCUUGGCGCUGAGAUAAGGGGUUUCUCCCUUUAUCGCUCUCCAGCUCCCAGACAUUUGAUUGUCACACUGAAUUGGAAGACACUAGACAUUUUUUUUAGCUUUUUUUCCAGUCUUCAUUUAAUUGGAAAAAAGCUAAAUCAUUGAAGCGGAAAUUGAAUCUGAAUGGAAUGAAACACUGACAUGAGCUGAGGCUGUGGAAGUCUACCCACACUGCACUGCGCCGCUGUCAAUGUAAGACUUGUCUGUAAACAAUUGUUGGAAAAAUUACUUGUCAUGGACAAAGUAGAUGUCCUAACC